AACGCGAAGAACCUUACCAAGGUUUGACAUGCAGGGAAAAGCCGUAGAGAUACGGUGUCCGUAAGGGCCCUGCACAGGUGGUGCAUGGCUGUCGUCAGCUCGUGUCGUGAGAUGUUGGGUUAAGUCCCGCAACGAGCGCAACCCUUAUUACCAGUUGCUACCAUUUAGUUGAGCACUCUGGUGAGACUGCCUCGGAUAACGGGGAGGAAGGCGGGGAUGACGUCAAGUCCUCAUGGCCUUUAUGUCCAGGGCUACACACGUGCUACAAUGGCCGGUACAAACCGUCGCAAACCCGUGAGGGGGAGCUAAUCGGAAAAAGCCGGCCUCAGUUCGGAUUGGAGUCUGCAACUCGACUCCAUGAAGCUGGAAUCGCUAGUAAUCGCAGAUCAGAACGCUGCGGUGAAUACGUUCCCGGGCCUUGUACACACCGACAUA
rnacentral:rRNA from 1 species